rnacentral:misc_RNA from 1 species
GAUGAAGAACGUAGCGAAAUGCGAUAAGUAAUGUGAAUUGCAGAAUUCAGUGAAUCAUCGAAUCUUUGAACGCACAUUGCGCCCGCCAGUAUUCUGGCGGGCAUGCCUGUUCGAGCGUCAUUACAACCCUCAGGCCCCCGGGCCUGGCGUUGGGGAUCGGCGGAAGCCCCCUGCGGGCACAACGCCGUCCCCCAAAUACAGUGGCGGUCCCGCCGCAGCUUCCAUUGCGUAGUAGCUAACACCUCGCAACUGGAGAGCGGCGCGGCCACGCCGUAAAACACCCAACUUCUGAGUGUUGACCUCGAAUCAGGUAGGAAUACCCGCUGAACUUAAGCAUAUCAAUAAGCGGAGGA